rnacentral:rRNA from 1 species
AUUGAACGCUGGCGGCAGGCCUAACACAUGCAAGUCGAGCGGAUGAAGGGAGCUUGCUCCUGGAUUCAGCGGCCGACGGGCGGGUAAGGCCCAGGAAGCUGCCCUGUAUUUGGGGCUAACGUCCGGUAACGGGCGCUGAUAUCGCAUAGGUCCUGAUGGUGAACGUGGUGGUUCAUUGGACCUCGCGCUAUUAGAUGACCCUAGGACGGAUUAGCUAGUUGGUUGGGUAACGGCCUACCAAGGCGACGAUCCGUAACUGGUCUGAGAGGAUGAUCAGUCACACUGGAACUGAGACACGGUCCAGACUCCUACGGGAGGCAGCAGUAGGGAAUAUUGGACAAUGGGCGAAAGCCUGAUCCAGCAAUGCCGCGUGUGUGAAGAAGGUCUUCGGAUUGUAAAGCUCUUUAAGUUGGGAGGAAGGGAAGUAAGAUAAUACCUUGCUGUUUUGACGGUACCAACAGAAAAAGCACCGGCUAACUUCGUG